rnacentral:rRNA from 1 species
CGCUGGCGGCAGGCCUAACACAUGCAAGUCGAGCGGUAGAGAGAAGCUUGCUUCUCUUGAGAGCGGCGGACGGGUGAGUAAUGCCUAGGAAUCUGCCUAGUGGUGGGGGAUAACGUUCGGAAACGGACGCUAAUACCGCAUACGUCCUACGGGAGAAAGCGGGGGACCUUAGGGCCUCGCGCCAUUAGAUGAGCCUAGGUCGGAUUAGCUAGUUGGUGAGGUAAUGGCUCACCAAGGCGACGAUCCGUAACUGGUCUGAGAGGAUGAUCAGUCACACUGGAACUGAGACACGGUCCAGACUCCUACGGGAGGCAGCAGUGGGGAAUAUUGGACAAUGGGCGAAAGCCUGAUCCAGCCAUGCCGCGUGUGUGAAGAAGGUCUUCGGAUUGUAAAGCACUUUAAGUUGGGAGGAAGGGUAGUAACUUAAUACGUUGCUACUUUGACGUUACCGACAGAAUAAGCACCGGCUAACUUCGUGCC